UACGUAGGGGGCAAGCGUUGUCCGGAUUUAUUGGGCGUAAAGAGCGUGUAGGCGGCCAGGGAGGUCCGUUGUGAAAACUCGAGGCUCAACCUCGAGACGCCGAUGGAAACCCCCUGGCUAGAGUCCGGAAGAGGAGAGUGGAAUUCCUGGUGUAGCGGUGAAAUGCGCAGAUAUCAGGAGGAACACCGGUGGCGAAGGCGGUUCUCUGGGCAUGUCCUGACGCUGAGGAGCGAAAGCGUGGGGAGCGAACAGG
rnacentral:rRNA from 1 species